GCAUCCUACGGGAGGCAGCAGUAGGGAAUUUUCGUCAAUGGGCGCAAGCCUGACCCAGCAACGCCGCGUGAAGGAAGAAGGCUUUCGGGUUGUAAACUUCUUUUCUCAGGGACGAAGAAAGUGAUGGUACCUGAGGAAUAAGCCACGGCUAACUACGUGCCAGCAGCCGCGGUAAUACGUAGGUGGCAAGCGUUAUCCGGAUUUAUUGGGUGUAAAGGGCGUGUAGGCGGGAGCGCAAGUCAGAUGUGAAAACUCAGGGCUCAACCCUGAGCCUGCAUUUGAAACUGUGUUUCUUGAGUGCUGGG
rnacentral:rRNA from 1 species